ACGCGUGAGAACCUGCCUUGGGGUCUGGGAUAGCUGCGGGAAACUGCAGGUAACACCGGAUACGCACGAGAGUGGAAAGUUUACGCCCUGGGAUGGGCCCGCGUCGGAUUAGGUAGUUGGUGGGGUAACGGCCUACCAAGCCUGCGAUCCGUAACCGGUCUGAGAGGAUGAUCGGUCACACUGGGACUGAGACACGGCCCAGACUCCUACGGGAGGCAGCAGUGGGGAAUCUUGGACAAUGGGGGCAACCCUGAUCCAGCGACGCCGCGUGGGUGAUGAAGGCCUUCGGGUCGUAAAGCCCUUUUGCCGGGGAAGAUGAUGACGGUACCCGGAGAAGAAGCACCGGCUAACUCUGUGCCAGCAGCCGCGGUAAGACAGAGGGUGCUAGCGUUGUUCGGAAUUACUGGGCGUAAAGGGCGCGUAGGCGGCUCGUUUAGUCGGGUGUGAAAUCCCGGGGCUCAACCCCGGAACUGCAUUCGAUACUGGCGGGCUAGAGACCGAGAGAGGUGGGUGGAAUACCCAGUGUAGAGGUGAAAUUCGUAGAUAUUGGGUGGAACACCGGUGGCGAAGGCGGCUCACUGGCUCGGUUCUGACGCUGAC
rnacentral:rRNA from 1 species